AAGUGGGGACGACCCCACCGCUCAACCUUAUAUUGAGGACGACCUCG
rnacentral:ncRNA from 1 species